UGGGCCUCAAAUAAUGUGUGACUACCCCCUAAUUUUAAGCAU
rnacentral:rRNA from 1 species